rnacentral:rRNA from 1 species
UACGAGGGGGGCAAGCGUUGUUCGGAAUUAUUGGGCGUAAAGGGCGCGUAGGCGGCUUGGCAAGUGGAAGGUGAAAUCCCUCGGCUUAACCGAGGAACUGCCCUCCAAACUGCUUCGCUUGAGACCGGGAGAGGUGAGUGGAAUUCCCAGUGUAGCGGUGAAAUGCGUAGAUAUUGGGAGGAACACCAGUGGCGAAGGCGGCUCACUGGACCGGUACUGACGCUGAUGCGCGAAAGCGUGGGGAGCAAACGGG